rnacentral:rRNA from 1 species
UACGGGGGGGGCAAGCGUUGUUCGGAAUUACUGGGCGUAAAGGGCUCGUAGGCGGCCAACUAAGUCGGAUGUGAAAUCCCCAGGCUCAACCUGGGAACUGCAUCCGAUACUGGAUGGCUUGAAUUCGGGAGAGGGAUGCAGAAUUCCUGGUGUAGCGGUGAAAUGCGUAGAUAUCCGGAGGAACACCGGUGGCGAAGGCGGCUUCCUGGACCGAUUACUGACGCUGAGGCGCGAAAGCUAGGGGAGCAAACGGG